AUCCAACUGACGAGUCCCAAAUAAAACGAAACGCGCGUUCUGGAU
rnacentral:hammerhead_ribozyme from 1 species